UAGACUCCCACCCUUGUGUAUCAUUAUAGAAUGUUGCUUUGGCGGGCCGCGCCUCGUGCGCCUAGAUUCGCGUCUAGCGUGCCCGCCAGAGGACCCCUAAACUCUGAAUGUUAGUGUCGUCUGAGUACUAUUAAAUAGUUAAAACUUUCAACAACGGAUCUCUUGGUUCUGGCAUCGAUGAAGAACGCAGCGAAAUGCGAUAAGUAAUGUGAAUUGCAGAAUUCAGUGAAUCAUCGAAUCUUUGAACGCACAUUGCGCCCCCUGGUAUUCCGGGGGGCAUGCCUGUUCGAGCGUCAUUUAUACCAAUCUAGCCUGGCUAGGUGUUGAGCGCCGCCGCCUGGCGGGCCUUAAAACUAGUGGCGGUGCUCUCAAGCUCUACGCGUAGUAAUCUUCUCGCUACAGGGUCUUGGGAGAUGCUAGCCAGCAACCCCAAAUUUUUCUAGG
rnacentral:misc_RNA from 1 species